CACAUAGACCAUCCUGCAUCCUGCACACAAAUGCAAUGAACUCACACCACAACCACAGGUUAUUACAUCGAUUGCAUCAUACAAACACUCACACUGAUGCAUAGGCGCCACCCUUAUUUUUAGGGGUCAGUCCUGUAAAGCUGUCGUUAGCAAAACUGAACUACCAACAGUCUCUUAUUUGCUCUUGUAGCGCUGUCUACAUAAUGUGAUUGUCAGAAAAAAGUUCACCAGUGUCAAUCUCGAUAUUUAAUCAAUUAGUUAGACGUGAAUUACGUGUUAUUUUUGUUGUAUUAGCUAGUGGUAAUAAAUGUAGGUACGGAACCCAGCGCUUUAAAGUUCAGUAUUGGUAUUAUAGCUAGUACCCCCUGCACAUCUAGACCUCCCAUCAGCCUUCCAGUUGGGUUUCCACCUUGAUUGAGUGAACACGUUGCCGGUUUAUCGCGAUUUUUAAAGUCAUUUUACCUUAGUGUUUCUUAAUUUGUGUUGUUUAAAAGUGAAUUAUAAAAGUCAUUUUUAAUUCUUAAAAAUCUAAGUUUUUUUUUCUACACUUGUUCGUGGAGAAUUUGUGGGGUUUUUUACAACAAUUGAGAUAAUAAAACCAGCAAAAAUGUCAUCGAACAACAAACAAACUGUUAAUGAAUUAAAGGAUUUGCAAGAUAUUGAGCGAGAACUGCAGCCCCACGAGCGCAUCGUCUACGACGUCUUCGAACCGAAACAACCUCCAGACAAACCGUCGUUCAACGACUCAGUUUCUGGUGCAGUCGAUAUAGAGUGUGUUUAUGAAUGUGGCCCGGUGAUGGAAUAUCUCCGGAACCUCCCAUUCCGAAGAUCAAAUGUUGUCAAAUUGGAGCCUCUGAAAGAGGUCCCAGAAACGUAUGUAAAGAACACCGGUGUACCAUUUGCACCAUCACACUAUCCUAUUGGCCAUUACAGAGCCAGCUUACCUGAACGUUCUUUCCAACACUAUCCGUAUCGAGUGGUGGGAGUACCAUUCCCACAAUAUCGAUAUCCUUACCCGCAUUAUUUACCUGCGGCACACGUUCAUAGACCUCAACGACGAGUUUAAAGGGCUUGUAUUACCGAGGCUUACCGAGAUAUUACCUAUAAUUGCAACAAGUGUACAAAAUUUCCGUACAUAUAUAACGAGUAUUAACAGGACCAAGAUAUGCCUGGAUCAGACGGGUACGUUAAUUAAUAAAAGCUAUUACUAAUGACCGCUUUGACGAUUUCGACAUUUGCAUAUUAUAAUGAACGCUUCUUACGAGUAAGAAACAUUAAGGAGUACGCACAUUAUUUCAGCUCCUUCCGCGUUUUGCUAGACGCAGAGUUGAACAGUACCGUACGCGUCUUUGAGAAUCGUUGUUUUCUGCUGUAUUAAGCUAAAGCUGUACUGAGCUGAAUAAAUGUGCGUAGUCCUCUACAUUGACAAUAUUUUGAUACGAUAACGGCAAAAUUUUAGGUUGAUUUUUGUCUCACGCAGACAGACGUCGCACCACCGACGAACACUGGUGGCGGAUAUCAGUCUUUUGAAACAUAGAAUAAAUAAUUUUUACACAUGAAAUACAUGACAGAUGACAGAAAAACGCACAUAGUCGAUCGACAAACAAAUCGACGAAUGAUGUCAUAAAUCUUACAUCGCACUUCGCACAUGUGAAGUUUAUAUGCGAACAAAAAUGGCUGAAAAAAUCCCAACGAACAACUGUUGAGCAAAAAGCCUGCCAGACACAAUCAUAUCGCAAUCUCAAUCCUUCUUUUCUUAGGGAACUUUACUCACUGCUCCCUAAAUGUAUAACAAGAUUAUCUUCAUACUUUGUUUUUGGUAGGCAUCGAUUUUCACCGUUCUCUUUACAUGGAUUAAAGUUACUAGAUAAAAAGCACGGGUUACCUGAUAAAAUCUUGGCCACACUAUAAUCAAAUAAAUGUUGAGUUUUUAAUAGCCUCGGACCUCUUUGUUGUAUGUCCAAAGUGGCAUUACAAUACAACUUUUCAAAAUUUGGCAGCCGAUCUCAUUUAAGGCAGGCUUUUACGGGCAACUCUAUUUUAUUAUAUUCACAAUAAAACAGCGCUUAUUUUUACUUGAAAACUAGUAUAUUUUUAAUAGGAUAAACAAAUUGGUGAACAUAAAAAAUAAACAAAUUUUUAAUCUUAUAAAGACAGCCUAGCUAAUAUUUUAUCAGGUAACCCAUGCUUUGUAUCAUUAUUAGGGUCAAUUUUUCCAAUACCAGAUAAAUGUUAUACUAUACUAUACUAAGAACUUUCAAAUAUCAAUUUUAUAUUCUACAGAUAAAGGUAAUCUGUUGAUUGAGAAAUCGGUCCUUAAUAAACUAAAUUACAUAUCAAUUAUUUUUUAUCCAUUAAACAGGUCGGUGACGGUCGAUGUUAGAUCGUAUCCUCUACUAACAUUAUGCUCGUCGUCUGUCAAGUUACGCGCUGAGCUAUGAGCGCUGACCGUGAGCGUGAGACUAAAACCAGCCUUAACCUUUGUGUAAAUUCGGGGCUUCUACCUGAAACAACCUAACCUAUGAAUACCGACACGCUGAAAAAAGAACAAAAUAUGAGCGGGGUACAAUCAGUUCAGACGUAACUGUCAAUUAAUGGGACUGAAGUAAUGAUUAUCAUUUAAUUCAAAUUGUACUAUUGUACACAACUUUUGUACCCACUAUUGACUGGUAUCUACGACAUCUUAGAAUAUUAGUCGGUUAAGAUAAAUAGAAAGUAAGUUGAUGUUCACUAAAUAAGUGUGUUCUAGUCUGCUUUUAUCGAUGAUAUAACAACGAUGUGUUUUUAUGCAUUUUUCUAACUUUUAUUCAUAUGGUAUAUUUAUCUAUCGUGAAUUAUUAGUACUUAUAACUUAAGUGUAGUUACGUAACUGGAAGUGGAGGAUUCUCGGCUAAUAUAACUCGUACUAAGUACCUACACUGCUCAUGAUUAUGGAUCUUCCCUUGUGGCUUGAAAUUAGUCGAGAAACCUCGACAAACAGACAUUGUACUCUUUUAUUUGUGGAGCGAUACUGAAUAGUAUUUUUAAUGUAAGUGUAGGUAUCUGAUAUGUAAUGUCGAAAAUCUCGUCCUAUUAUUAUUUUUAUACUUUAAAAGUAUUAGGAGCAUAUUACUAGGCCCUUGUCUCGUCCUAAAGAUGUGUUUAUAAAGAAUAAAAUUCAGCUGACUAAUAAUUUAAUUAUUUUUAUUGUCACGUAAAAAAAGACGUACCUCAUUAUUAUUACUUAUGUUUUAAAUGGAUGAAAUCUAUAUAUAAUAAUUUCUUGUAUUGAUAUUUCAUUGAGAGUAGGUACAUUUUGUGUAACAAUAUUUAUACAUUCUUUAAAAAAGAAAAUAAGAUAAUGUAAUACAAUUCUAGAAGAUCUGUAAUUAUAAUUUUUCGAUGUGUAAUUUUUCAUUUAUUAAUUUUUAAUGGUAAUUCAAAAAGAGCUUGUCCACCACUGUUGUCACCAGGAGAACGUCAAACUUCGACAACGUAACUCCGAGGACGACGUACUUUUGAUUUAAUUUUAGGAUGAUGUGACGGCAAUCGUUUUUCGCCUCGACUGAUCACGCUGUUUUAUUCUAUUGCAGCUGUCACACGUGGCAGUCACAUUUUCGAAGAAAUUAAGUGAUGGCUGAGCUUAUUUGGCUACAAUUUUCAUGUAUAUAAAGAGUCGUUUUAACUACUAAUACGUGAACGGUACAUCACAGUAUACACAAUUGAUUCUAUUAGGUAUUCUGAUCAAACUAUUUUCAGGUUUUGCCUUACACCUUGUAUACUGCCACGGUACGUCCAUCUCAUUUUCGGUGGCGUAACAGUGAUGGCAGUGGUGGACAAACGAUAAAAUUACUCACAACCCUUACUUGUCAAACUUUGAUCGUCAUCAUUGACACAAAAAGUUGAUGCAAUGGCUUAUUUUGUAAGGACAAUGCUUAAAAUUGUGUGGAUUCUGUCCCCAUCCUUAUAGCAGAGCUUUAGACAACGACGAGCAUAUUACGUGAUUGAUCCCAGAGGCGGCAUAUGUCGGGGACCGUAAAUCCGCUACUCUUCUAGUCAUUAAAGGCUACUCACAUGCCCAGGUGGACUUCCAGUCAUACUCUAUAUCCCACAUGAAAGGUCCUAAUACCGAACCCUGGGGAACACCACAGUACAUGGUGCGCCGACGUACGGCAUUAUGUCCUCCAAAUGUGGACACUAUUCAGGUAGGCUCCUGCUAUGCGACGAAGGUAAGAAUUAAAUGAUGUUUUAAUUCUGAUUUCUUAAAGCCCUACGAGAGUUUUGAGCAUUGUUCUUUCGAGUUAUUCUAAGUUAUAUGGAUAUAGAUAUCAGAUAUCGUAUUAUUUAUAUUCGUGUGUUAUUAUUCCUCACGUUACAAUUUUGAUUAAAAAACAAAUGUGUAAUUAAUAUUUAAUUAAUCAAUAAAAAUAUCUGGAGAAUAGCUCACCGGUCUGUUAUCAGGGAUUGGAAAAGUAAUCGAAGGAUGAUUUGUUUUUGACAGAAAUUCACCGUAUGCCACUGAAAGUCUAUAGAUCAUUUCACGUCGGCGCGGCGCGUUAUAAGUUCGAAUGUUGCUGCAUCUGCAUCCGAUGUACAUAUCUUACACACUACGAGUCCCUUCACAUAAAAAUCUUCUUUCUUCAUGUGAAACUAAGCGAAUCUGUUUAAAUCUCACAGUUGGCUCCAGGUGAAAGCACAUAUCAUUGACCUUGUGAGUUGUGGCAGUGGUGGUGAGCUAAGGUCAAUUUUACUUUGUGGGUUAUACUUUAGUGAGGUAAUCAUGAUAUUAUGGUAAAAUUUUAUAAUUAUUAGAAUAAGUGCUUAUACAAACUGUUUGUAAGCGAUUGUAUUUCCGAUUAUAUUAUCCGUGUUGUGCUAAGGUGGUUUCCAGCUGUUCUGAACCCAGAGCUUAGUUUUAGGUACCCUUGGCAAA